UACGUAGGGGGCAAGCGUUGUCCGGAUUUAUUGGGCGUAAAGAGCUUGUAGGCGGUUGUCGCGUCUGCCGUGAAAGUCCGGGGCUCAACUCCGGAUCUGCGGUGGGUACGGGCAGACUAGAGUGAUGUAGGGGAGACUGGAAUUCCUGGUGUAGCGGUGAAAUGCGCAGAUAUCAGGAGGAACACCGAUGGCGAAGGCAGGUCUCUGGGCAUUAACUGACGCUGAGGAGCGAAAGCAUGGGGAGCGAACAGG
rnacentral:rRNA from 1 species